AUGCCACCGGAUCGAGAUAUUGAGUUUUUGAUAGAACUAUUGCCAGGCACAGGGCCAAUAUCCAAGAGACCCUACAGGAUGCCCGCGAAUGAUCUGGAGGAGAUUAAGAAACAGAUCAAGGAGUUAUUGGAGAAAGGUUACAUUCGACGGAGUUCAUCACCCUGGGGAGCCCCAGUGCUUUUGGUUGAGAAGAAGGAUAAGUCCCUAAGGAUGGUUGUUGAUUAUCGGGCCUUGAACGAGGUAACGAUUAAGAACAAGUACCCAUUGCCGAUGAUCAGUGAUCUGUUUGACCAGCUGCAAGGAGCUAAGGUGUUUUCGAAGAUCGAUCUGCGAUUAGGAUAUCAUCAGUUGAAGAUACGAGAGAAGGAUAUACCAAAGACAUCCUUCACCACACGGUAUGGGCUAUACGAAUAUACGGUCAUGUCAUUUGGACUGACUAACACCCCUGCCUAUUUCAUGAGCAUGAUGAAUAAAGUAUUCAUGGAAUAUUUGGAUAAGUUUGUUGUGGUGUUCAUUGAUGAUAUAAUGGUAUAUUCGAAGAAUGAAGAGGAACACAAGGAGCAUUUGCGAUUAGUUCUCGAGAAACUUAGGGAA
rnacentral:rRNA from 1 species